CAUGUGUAGCGGUGAAAUGCGUAGAUAUAUGGAGGANCACCAGUGGCGAAAGCGGCUCUCUGGUCUGUCACUGACGCUGAGGCUCGAAAGCGUGGGUAGCGAACAGGAUUAGAUACCCUGGUAGUCCACACCGUAAACGAUGAGUGCUAGGUGUUAGGCCCUUUCCGGGGCUUAGUGCCGGAGCUAACGCAAUAAGCACUCCGCCUGGGGAGUACGACCGCAAGGUUGAAACUCAAAGGAAUUGACGGGGGCCCGCACAAGCGGUGGAGCAUGUGGUUUAAUUCGAAGCAACGCGAAGAACCUUACCAGGUCUUGACAUCCCGAUGCUAUUCUUAGAGAUAGGAAGUUACUUCGGUACAUCGGAGACAGGUGGUGCAUGGUUGUCGUCAGCUCGUGUCGUGAGAUGUUGGGUUAAGUCCCGCAACGAGCGCAACCCUUAUUGUUAGUUGCCAUCAUUAAGUUGGGCACUCUAGCGAGACUGCCGGUAAUAAACCGGAGGAAGGUGGGGAUGACGUCAAAUCAUCAUGCCCCUUAUGACCUGGGCUACACACGUGCUACAAUGGUCGGUACAACGAGUUGCGAGCCGGUGACGGCAAGCUAAUCUCUGAAAGCCGAUCUCAGUUCGGAUUGGAGGCUGCAACUCGCCUCCAUGAAGUCGGAAUCGCUAGUAAUCGCGGAUCAGCACGCCGCGGUGAAUACGUUCCCGGGCCUUGUACACACCGCCCGUCACACCACGAGAGUUUGUAACACCCGAAGUCGGUGAGGUAACCUUUUA
rnacentral:rRNA from 1 species